GAUGAACGCUGGCGGCGUGCCUAAUACAUGCAAGUCGAGCGAACGGACGAGAAGCUUGCUUUUCUGAUGUUAGCGGCGGACGGGUGAGUAACACGUGGAUAACCUACCUAUAAGACUGGGAUAAAUUCGGGAAACCGGAGCUAAUACCGGAUAAUAUUUUGAACCGCAUGGUUCAAAAGUGAAAGACGGUCUUGCUGUCACUUAUAGAUGGAUCCGCGCUGCAUUAGCUAGUUGGUAAGGUAACGGCUUACCAAGGCAACGAUGCAUAGCCGACCUGAGAGGGUGAUCGGCCACACUGGAACUGAGACACGGUCCAGACUCCUACGGGAGGCAGCAGUAGGGAAUCUUCCGCAAUGGGCGAAAGCCUGGCGGAGCAACGCCGCGUGAGUGAUGAAGGUCUUCGGAUCGUAAAACUCUGUUAUUAGGGAAGAACAUAUGUGUAAGUAACUGUGCACAUCUUGACGUUACCUAAUCAGAAAGCCACGGCUAACUACGUG
rnacentral:rRNA from 1 species